CUGGCAUGGAUCUGGUAUCGCUGCUUGCCUCCUGCAUGUUCCUCUGCACCCCACUUAUUUGACAAAAGCGGACGUUUGUCAGUUGCUCUUCCCCGGAUGGGGGUGAAAGGGAUAGAUGGUACCCCACAGGAAGGAAUUCCAAAUUGCGCCUUCCUGGGCUCUCAGUGGGGUUCUGCACUUGAGUGGUGGCAGCAUCUACCAAUCCAAGAAAUCAAGGUUCUCCAGUUUACAGCCCAGGAGAGAGAGAACGCUGAAUGGUCUGAAGGAGUCUACUAAGAAGGGAAAAGCAACGGUGGCGUAGAAGAGGUGAGCCUUUCCAUAACCCUUGGGUAUAAGCAGUGACAGCAAAUCCAGGAGCUGUGCACCAGCUUCGUGCCAAUGUUUUCAGCCACCCCAGGACAGACAGAACGGGCGUACCACUCCAUUGACACAGGUAAUGCUCGCCCAGUUAGAACCCAACCCUACCGGAUGAUUUCUCAAGCCAAAGCCGUGAUAGUAAUGGAGAUCAAGGACAUGUUACAGAUGGGUGUAAUCCACCCCUCUGAGAGAGCAUGGGCCUCUCCAGUAGUUCUGGUUCUCAAACCAGAUGGGGAAAUCCGCUUUUGCAUGAACUACCGUAAGCUAAAUGCUGUAACUCGCCCAGAGAACUGUCCAGUGCCACACACAGAUGAGCUGUUGGAGAAACUGGGACGUGCCCAAUUCAUCUCCACCUUAGACUUAAUUAAGGGGUAUUGGCAAGUGCCGCUAGAUAAACCAGACAAGGAAAGGUCAGCCUUCAUCGCCCAUGUAGGGCUGUGAAUUUAAUGUGCUCCCUUUUGGACUGCGAAAAAAGAAUGUUAUGCCAUUGUGUAUGCUCUGAAGAAGCUACACCUAUACAUUUGGGGAUGGCAUUUCCACAUACAGGCUGACAAUGCUGCACUGAAGUGGCUUCACACAGUCAAAGAGACUAACAAAAAACUUCUUCGGUGAAGUUUAGCUCUUCAAGACUUUGAUUUUGAAAUACAACACAUUUCAGGAGCCUCUAACAAAGUGGCUGAUGCACUCUCCCAGGCAGGUUUCCCAGAAUCAGCCAAGUAAAAGUGUCCCUAUAUUCUAAGUCAUUGUAGUCCUUAAAAUGUGGAUAAUACUGUUUAGUUCUUUGUGUAAUUAGUAGUAAAAUUAGAGGUGCAUAUAUACUAUUAACUCUGUUUUCCUAAACCUCUAGGUUGAACCAGGCUGGCCAACACCAUCUGUGAUUUGGGGGGCAUGUGAUAGAUGAAGAGGGGAGGAGUAGCUCCCUUUUAUGGACACUCAGCCAGUCAGUAGCUGAGGCUAGGUCUACACUAUCCGCCUGAAUCGGCGGGUAGAAAUCGAUCUCUCGGGGAUCGAAUUAUCGCGUCUCGUCGGAACGCGACAGUCGAUCCCCGAAUCGACGCUCUUACUCCACCAGCGGAGGUGGGAGUAAGCGCCGUCGACAGGGAGCCGCGGAGGUCGAUUUUGCCGCUGUCCUCACAGCGGGGUAAGUCGGCUCCGAUAGGUCGAAUUCAGCUACGCUAUUCACGUAGCUGAAUUUGCAUAUCUUAAAUCGCCCCCCCUCCCCCCCCGUAGUGAAGACCUGCCCUAAAAAUCCCACUUAGUAGCUGUUCUCUAAUUGCUCUACCUGUAAAGGCUUAAAAAGUCUCAUUGCUAUGUAUAAGUAAAAGGAAGUGAGUGGGCACCUGGCCAAAAGAGCCAAUGGGAAGGCUAGAACUUUUUAAAAUUGAAAAAAAACUCCCCUUUUUUCUGUCUGUUGUUGCUCUCCUGGGGAGAGGCAAACAGGCCAGCAGCUAUGCUGUAAGAAGCCUGGGCCAGCUAUGAAAAAGUCAUCAGUAUCAUACCUAGAAACUACUCAUUUAAAACCCCAGAUAUGUAAGUAGAUCAGGAAAUGUCUAGGAAGACACAAUUAGGUUUAUCCCUUUUAUUUCAUUAUGGCUUGUGGAUUCCUCUAUGCUAACCCCAGGUGCUUUUGUUUUGCUUGUAACCUUUAAACUGGACUUCAAGAAAGCUAUUCUUGGUGCUUAAUUCUUGUAAUUGCUCUUUUAAAAUCUAGUAAUAGCCUGAGUUCCCAGAUUAUUUUCUUUCUUUUUUUAUUAAUAAAAUUUAUCUUUUU